rnacentral:tRNA from 1 species
AGGGAUGUAGCUCAGAGGUAGAGUGCAUACAUAGCAUGGGGGAGGUCCUGGAUUCUAUUCCCAGCAUCUCCC